AGAGUACGUGAAACCGUUCAGGGGUAAACCUGAGAAACCCGAAAGGUCGAAAGGGGAGAUUCAGCGUGUCUCGAUUGCGGCGCUGGACGGUCGUGCGACGGAAGACGUACGCGUCAUCCGCACCUUCCGUCUUCCGAACCGUAGUCGAACGCGUGCACUUCUCCCCCUGUAGGACGUCGCGAUCCGUUGGGUGCCGGUCUAAGGCCCGCAAUGGAGCCCGUUCGGACGGUUUACCGUUCCGGACGAACUUGCGGUGUUUCCCGGUCGGCUCGCUCGACGGUAUACAGAUGGCGCGGGGCCGCUACACAUUAGUUAGCGUCCGACCGGCGGCAAGCGCGCUCGUCGUGACGGUGAUCGGACCUGGUGCCGGUCCUGUCCCCGAGUGGCUGUUCGCUGCCGUGUUCUCGGACAGACCUCGUUGAAACGCCGAUCUGCGACGCUAUAGCUUUGGGUACUUUCAGGACCCGUCUUG
rnacentral:rRNA from 1 species